rnacentral:ribozyme from 1 species
UGCCUAGCAACUCCUAUUCCUACCUUCUCGUGGUACCGGCCAGAAACUACGAGCAAACCUUAGAUCGGGGAACUUUGGUCAUAGGUUGAUAGGGACGG